rnacentral:rRNA from 1 species
AGAGUUUGAUCCUGGCUCAGAAUCAACGCUGGCGGCGCGCUUAACACAUGCAAGUCGAACGAGAAAGGGGAGCAAUCCCUGAGUACAGUGGCGUACGGGUGAGUAACACGUGGAUGAUCUACCUUCUGGUGUGGAAUAACCAUGGGAAACCGUGGCUAAUACCGCAUAAGCUCGAGAGAGGAAAGCAGCAAUGCGCCGGAAGAGGAGUCCGCGGCCGAUUAGCUAGUUGGCAGGGUAAAAGCCUACCAAGGCAAAGAUCGGUAGCCGGCCUGAGAGGGCACACGGCCACACUGGCACUGAAACACGGGCCAGACUCCUACGGGAGGCAGCAGUGGGGAAUCUUGCACAAUGGGGGCAACCCUGAUGCAGCGACGCCGCGUGAGCGAUGAAGCCCUUCGGGGUGUAAAGCUCUUUCGGCAGGGAAGAUGAUGACGGUACCUGCAGAAGCAGCUGCGGCUAACUACGUGCCAGCAGCCGCGGUAAUACGUAGGCAGCGAGCGUUGUUCGGAGUUACUGGGCGUAAAGGGUGUGUAGGCGGUUGUUUAAGUUUGGUGUGAAAUCUCCCGGCUCAACUGGGAGGGUGCGCCGAAUACUGAAUGACUAGAGUGCGGGAGAGGAGAGUGGAAUUCCUGGUGUAGCGGUGAAAUGCGUAGAUAUCAGGAGGAACACCGGUGGUGUAGACGGCUCUCUGGACCGUAACUGACGCUGAGACACGAAAGCGUGGGUAGCAAACAGGAUUAGAUACCCUAGUAGUCC